CCUACGGGUGGCAGCAGUGAGGAAUAUUGGUCAAUGGACGAGAGUCUGAACCAGCCAAGUAGCGUGAAGGAUGACUGCCCUAUGGGUUGUAAACUUCUUUUAUAUGGGAAUAAAAUGUUCCACGUGUGGGAUUUUGUAUGUACCAUAUGACUAAGGAUCGGCUAACUCAGUGCCAGCAGCCGCGGUAAUACGGAGGAUCCGAGCGUUGUCCGGAUUUAUUGGGUUUAAAGGGAGCGUAGGUGGAUUGUUAAGUCAGUUGUGAAAGUUUGCGGCUCAACCGUGAAAUUGCAGUUGAAACUGGCAGUCUUGAGUACAGUAGAGGUGGGCGGAAUUCGUGGUGUAGCGGUGAAAUGCUUAGAUAUCACGAAGAACUCCGAUUGCGAAGGCAGUUCACUGGACUGCAACUGACACUGAGGCUCGAAAGUGUGGGUAUCAAACAGGAUUAGAUACCCGAGUAGUC
rnacentral:rRNA from 1 species